rnacentral:rRNA from 1 species
GACGAACGCUGGCGGCGUGCUUAACACAUGCAAGUCGAACGGAGCGAAUGAAAGCUUGCUUUUAUAAGCUUAGUGGCAAACGGGUGAGUAACACGUAGACAACCUGCCGACAGGAUGGGGACAACAUUCCGAAAGGAAUGCUAAUACCGAAUGAAGUCGAGGGAAGGCAUCUUCCUUCGAUGAAAGAUGGCCUCUAUAUAUAAGCUAUCACCUGUUGAUGGGUCUGCGUCUGAUUAGCUGGUAGGUGAGGUAACGGCUCACCUAGGCGACGAUCAGUAGCCGGUCUGAGAGGAUGAACGGCCACAUUGGGACUGAGACACGGCCCAGACUCCUACGGGAGGCAGCAGUGGGGAAUCUUCCGCAAUGGGCGCAAGCCUGACGGAGCAACGCCGCGUGAGUGAAGAAGGUCUUCGGAUCGUAAAGCUCUGUUGAUGGGGACGAACGUGCCUAAUGCGAAUAGUUUUAGGUAAG